UGUCGCUAUAGGAUAAGCUGGUGAAAGACUGAAAGACGGUUUCGGCUGUCGCUAUAGGAUGGGCCCGCGGCGCAUUAGCUAGUUGGUGAGGUAACGGCUCACCAAGGCGACGAUGCGUAGCCGACCUGAGAGGGUGAUCGGCCACACUGGGACUGAGACACGGCCCAGACUCCUACGGGAGGCAGCAGUAGGGAAUCUUCCACAAUGGGCGAAAGCCUGAUGGAGCAACGCCGCGUGAGUGAAGAAGGUUUUCGGAUCGUAAAACUCUGUUGUAAGGGAAGAACAAGUACAGUAGUAACUGGCUGUACCUUGACGGUACCUUAUUAGAAAGCCACGGCUAACUACGUGCCAGCAGCCGCGGUAAUACGUAGGUGGCAAGCGUUGUCCGGAAUUAUUGGGCGUAAAGCGCGCGCAGGCGGUCCUUUAAGUCUGAUGUGAAAGCCGGCUCAACCGUGGAGGGUCAUUGGAAACUGGGGGACUUGAGUGCAGAAGAGGAUGGAAUUCCAAGUGUAGCGGUGAAAUGCGUAGAGAUUUGGAGGAACACCAGUGGCGAAGGCGACUUUCUGGUCUGUAACUGACUGAGGCGCGAAAGCGUGGGGAGCAAACAGGAUUAGAUACCCUGGUAGUCCACGCCGUAAACGAUGAGUGCUAAGUGUUAGGGGGUUUCCGCCCCUUAGUGCUGCAGCUAACGCAUUAAGCACUCCGCCUGGGGAGUACGGUCGCAAGACUGAAACUCAAAGGAAUUGACGGGGGCCCGCACAAGCGGUGGAGCAUGUGGUUUACGAAGCAACGCGAAGAACCUUACCAGGUCUUGACAUCCCGUUGACCACUGUAGAGAUAUAGUUUCCCCUUCGGGGGCAACGGUGACAGGUGGUGCAUGGUUGUCGUCAGCUCGUGUCGUGAGAUGUUGGGUUAAGUCCCGCAACGAGCACCCUUGAUCUUAGUUGCCAUCAUUUAGUUGGGCACUCUAAGGUGACUGCCGGUGACAAACCGGAGGAAGGUGGGGAUGACGUCAAAUCAUCAUGCCCCUUAUGACCUGGGCUACACACGUGCUACAAUGGACGAUACAGGUUGCCAACUCGCGAGAGGGAGCUAAUCCGAUAAAGUCGUUCUCAGUUCGGAUUGUAGGCUGCAACUCGCCUACAUGAAGCCGGAAUCGCUAGUAAUCGCGGAUCGCCCCUUAUGACUACGGUUGCCAACUCGCGAGAGGGAGCUAAUCCGAUAAAGUCGUUCUCAGUUCGGAUUGUAGGCUGCAACUCGCCUACAUGAAGCCGGAAUCGCUAGUAAUGCGGAUCAAGCAUCCGACGGUGAAUACGUUAACGGGGUAUCAGAAACCCUGGACCCCCCUCCCCUGCUCCAAGAAUGUUGUAAGCAAGGUAACCCGGUAUUGAUCCCCCUGAGGA
rnacentral:rRNA from 1 species